AUGUCGGUAGUUCAUGAAGUUGAUACUUAACUAGUGUUUUUGAUAAUAUAGAUUGACUCAAGGAAGUUGUACGAACUGCUCGAAUUGAAGCGCUUGGUAUUUCGGUACGAGUACUGUGAGUAGUAAUUUUACCGCAAUUUGUGUUUUCAUAACCUGCAUGGUUUAUCUAUGAUUUUUGAAAAUAAAUGUAUUACUGAUGCUUUGAAAUUGCAUGUGGGACAAGUCCUUUACUUGAUAUGAUACCGAACAGUUUACUUGAGAUGUUAAUUGCCUGUGGGACAAGUCCUUUAGUUGAUAUGAUACCGAAGAGUUUACUUGAGACGUUUACUGAUUAAUCAAAUAUUUUCACUGUUACUAGAUAUAUUUUACCGUUACUUGAGACAUGAUUUCAGGUACCGAAAUAAAAUUACAAGAUUUGAAAAGGAAUGAUAUGCCCUUUAUUAUUUUGAAAAUGCUUCUUUACGAGUAUUUAUGGUUUAUAAGAAAGAAUAUAAAUGGGCGGAGACUUUGAAAGAUGCAGUAGCUAAUGACGGGUUCGUUAGACCUGGUGCAACUUGUAUUUACAGAUUACAGAGUAUAGUUAUAGCCCUCGCUAGUGGAAGGUAGAACUAGCACACCGUUACCAAUUUCCAUCGAGUAGGGACUACAAUUAUAUUUGACUUCUUGCGAAGAAGUCCACAGUUAUCCUUAUUACAUGAUCGUUCAUUGAAAUCUCCCAAAAUGUGAAUACUGAUAUUAUACAGUGGUUACCGAGCUUAUUACUGAAUUAUUAAUUNNNNN
rnacentral:lncRNA from 1 species